rnacentral:misc_RNA from 1 species
GACCUCCAACCCUUUGUUGUUAAAACUACCUUGUUGCUUUGGCGGGACCGCUCGGUCUCGAGCCGCUGGGGAUUCGUCCCAGGCGAGCGCCCGCCAGAGUUAAACCAAACUCUUGUUAUUUAACCGGUCGUCUGAGUUAAAAUUUUGAAUAAAUCAAAACUUUCAACAACGGAUCUCUUGGUUCUCGCAUCGAUGAAGAAACGCAGCGA